UUGGGUCAGCCAAAACAUUUGUUUGGGUUUUCCCAUAAGAUUGUAGAGAAAAACCCGAACAAACUUUUUGGUCAACC
rnacentral:miRNA from 1 species